rnacentral:sRNA from 1 species
GGUACUGUAAGAAGGGUCUUGUGCUCGCCUUAGAAUUAUCCUAGGCUGUGCUUAAUAUUGUAAAUGGAUAAAUGAUUUUGUCUGCGUUAAGGCUGGAACUUUAAAAAUUUUAAAUCAUGAAAAUAUGCUGUUUAUGAAAUAUCUGCUUUUACCGCUCCUUCCAGAAAGUAAAAUUGUCGAAGGCUUUAAUCUACUGCAAUGUCAAGCAAUUAUGCUUUAAACAAGAAUUUGUUUUCUCCGUUUAUAAUAUAUUUUGAGAAGCAGUAGCUUGAAAAGGACCUAACAACAUAUUGGCUUUAAGACGUUCAACUAGAACCACGGACUCUGUCGAAGCAUACAAUUAGAAUUUGGGCAACAAAACGAUCGUAUUGGACAGCUCUCAAAAGAUCAUGGACGCCACGAUUCUCUUUGAGAUUGGAGAAAUCGAUAUGCGGGGCUUUUUGUCUCGAUUUUCAAGGCAGGACCUGUUUGACUGGGAUGAUGAAUCAAAUAUUUCCGGAAUUUUGCCUGAAAUGAAAUCUUCCACAACGUCACUUUCCUCGAAUGCUUCAAAUUUAAGACAUACCAUAAAUGGAACAAUGAUUCUUUAAAUUAAAAACUAAACCUAAGUG